rnacentral:rRNA from 1 species
UACGUAGGGGGCAAGCGUUGUCCGGAUUUAUUGGGCGUAAAGAGCGUGUAGGCGGCCAGGGAGGUCCGUUGUGAAAACUCGGAGGCUCAACCUCGAGACGCCGAUGGAAACCCCCUGGCUAGAGUCCGGAAGAGGAGAGUGGAAUUCCUGGUGUAGCGGUGAAAUGCGCAGAUAUCAGGAAGAACACCCGUGGCUAAGGCGGCUCUCUAGUACGGUACUGACGCUGAGACGGCGAAAGCGUGGGGAGCGAACAGG